AUUUCAUAAGGGCCCAAUGCUAUAGAAUAUCCAAAUUCAAGACUCCUGCUGCUGCCCCAAAAGGAAGACACAGUUCACUGAGAAGUAGCUUCUCUUACCAUCCAUUACUUUAGCCAGCAUUGGUCAGAGAAGAUUUCACACAAUGCAACUUUGCUUUACCACUUUAGGAAUCUGCAACCAUGGAUGACUUGCAUACGCUUUGACCUGGGUCUUCCUGGAAACCUACCCUAAAGUUGAGCGAUUUAUGGAACAGACCUAUGGUGAAGCGACUUCCAGUCAUUUGGAAAGGAUGGGAUGAAAAGGAACCUUGGUGAUAAUUUUGAUGUCUGCAAGAUUUAGUGCCAGCGUAAUGGGAUUAUCGGUAACACCUUCACUGCAGAAAAAGCCACCUGGCGUUAUAACUGGCAGCAACUGAGAACUAAUCCUUUCCCAUCUCUUGGAUGUCAUUCACGAAGCUCAAAGCGAUUUCUGCCCUGCUAACUGUGAUUAAUUUUAUAAACAACAAUAAAAAACCAGGUGGAAUUAAAAUUUUUGAAGAACAGCCUUGAAGGCAUAAGCUUGUAAUCCCAGCUACUUGGGAAGUGGAAGCAAAAAAUUUGCAG